rnacentral:rRNA from 1 species
UGGGGAAUAUUGGACAAUGGGCGAAAGCCUGAUCCAGCCAUGCCGCGUGUGUGAAGAAGGUCUUCGGAUUGUAAAGCACUUUAAGUUGGGAGGAAGGGCAGUAACCUAAUACGUUGCUGUCUUGACGUUACCGACAGAAUAAGCACCGGCUAACUCUGUGCCAGCAGCCGCGGUAAUACAGAGGGUGCAAGCGUUAAUCGGAAUUACUGGGCGUAAAGCGCGCGUAGGUGGUUUGUUAAGUUGGAUGUGAAAUCCCCGGGCUCAACCUGGGAACUGCAUUCAAAACUGACAAGCUAGAGUAUGGUAGAGGGUGGUGGAAUUUCCUGUGUAGCGGUGAAAUGCGUAGAUAUAGGAAGGAACACCAGUGGCGAAGGCGACCACCUGGACUGAUACUGACACUGAGGUGCGAAAGCGUGGGGAGCAAACAGGAUUAGAUACCCUUGUAGUCCCUGAGCGGGCUGG